rfam:Fragilariopsis cylindrus CCMP1102 unplaced genomic scaffold FRACYscaffold_56, whole genome shotgun sequence.
GAAUUCGUGGCCGAGUGGUCUAAGGCGCCAGAUUUAGGCUCUGGUCUUCGUUGGCAGGGGUUCGAAUCCCCUCGAAUUCA